GACAGUCUAUAUGGACAGACGCCAAACUAACAUAAUUAACAUAUUGUUCUUCCGUGCAGGUUUUAUUGGAAAAGAUGGAGGAAAAAAAUCGAGAUUUGAAGUCGCAGUUAAAGGACAGAGAAAUGCAAUUGUCGCAAACUGAGGCCUUGCUGAAGGACAGGACGAAAAGGGAAAGACGUUUAGAAGAGGAAAUCUCGAAAUUACAGUCUCGCCUCGAACAUCGAAAUAGUAAAUUACGAGAUUUAACCGAAAGACUUGAACAUGCAGAAAGCUACAUCAAUGAAUUACAG